CAGCAGUGAGGAAUAUUGGUCAAUAGCCUAACGGCUGAACCAGCAACUUGGAGGAAUGUAUAGCUAAAGCUAAACGUAUUAGUUACUUUUGUAAAAAUACAGAUUCGAUUUACUCGUAUAAAGUUCUAGAUAGGAUUAUGAUAAUGACAUUGUCUAUCUAUAUGUCUUGACCAAAUUACGUGCCAGCAGUCGCGGCAAGACGUAAAAGACUAGUGUUAUUCAUCUUUAAUAGGUUUAAAGCGUACCUAGACGGUAAAUAAAGCCUUAAGCGGGACUAAUUUAACUAGAGUUAGAUGUAAGGGUGCAUAAACGUACUGUUGAGUGUAGAGAUGAAAUUCUGUUAUACCAGAUUAUUGGCACGGGUUUAGGCGAAAGCAUCGCCUUAUGUAAUAACUGACGUUGAGGGACGAAGGCUUUGUGUCGCGAACAGGAUUAGGUACCCCAGUAGUCUUAGCAGAAAAUGAUGAGUGUCAUAGGUUAAAUAUUAUUUGGUCUAUAAAUGAAAGUGUAAGCAUUCCACCUCAAGAGUAAUUUGGCAACAUUGGAAUUGAAAUCAUUAGACCGUUUCUGAAACCAGUAGUGAAGUAUGUUGUUUAAUUAGAUAUUCCACCAAAAACCUUACCACAAUUUGAAUAUUUUACAAGCGUUGCACGGCUGUCUUCAGUUAAUGUCGUGAGAUUAUGGUUAGUUCCAUUAAAUUAACGUAAACCCUUACUUUAUUUUAUUUUAUNAUAAAGUAGUUCGCCGCUAGAUUGGUUAGAUAAAAGGGACUAAGACAC
rnacentral:rRNA from 1 species